rnacentral:rRNA from 1 species
AUGUUGACCACUCCGCCUGUCCUGGCGGCUCCGACUGACAAGGAGCCCAUGCUUCUCUACAUCGCCGCCACCAGCCGGGUGGUCAGCGCGGUCAUAGUUGUAGAGCGCAAGGAAGAAGGCAAAGCACUACCAGUCCAGAGGUCGGUGUAUUACCUAAGUGAAGUGUUGUCCGCCUCCAAGCAAAACUACCCCCACUAUCAGAAGAUGUGCUAUGGCGUGCAUUUUGCCGCAAAGAAGCUGAAGUCGUACUUUCAAGAGCACCCAAUCACUCUUGUCUGCACUGCUCCGCUUCCCGAGAUCAUUGGAAGCCGAGAUGCUUCAGGCCGAGUGGCCAAAUGGGCCAUAGAUUUGGCCCCCUACACCAUCUACUACCAGCCCCGCACCGCCAUCAAGUCGCAAGUGUUGGCCGACUUCCUCGUCGACUGGGCCGAGACCUAG